UACGAAGGGGGCUAGCGUUGCUCGGAAUCACUGGGCGUAAAGGGUGCGUAGGCGGGUCUUUAAGUCAGAGGUGAAAUCCUGGAGCUCAACUCCAGAACUGCCUUUGAUACUGAGGGUCUUGAGUAUGACAGAGGUGAGUGGAACUGCGAGUGUAGAGGUGAAAUUCGUAGAUAUUGGGAAGAACACCGGUGGCGAAGGCGGCUCACUGGCCCGUUUCUGACGCUCAGGCGCGACAGCGUGGGGAUCAAACAGG
rnacentral:rRNA from 1 species